rnacentral:tRNA from 1 species
AAGUGUAUAGCUCAGAUGGUUAGAGCAUUGGACUUUUAAUCCACAGGCCCUGGGUUCAAGUCCCAGUAUACUUA